CAAGGGAAACUAGAGCUAAGAGUGAGGAACCAGAACUAGAAAUUUUCGCAGCCUGCAACAUCGAAUUCUUAGGAGAAAAAGGGUAAGAACCUGCACUAAUUUUUCUGUUUAUUUGGUAUAAUUGGAAUAACACAUGAGCUGCACGUGAAUUUAGUAAAGAAAAUAGGUUCUUAGCCAAGAUGAGAUGCUGUUUUGGAAGGAAUGAAGCUAACGAACAGAAAUGAAAAGAAUGGAAAGUUGUUUAAAUUUAGCUUAUAAAUGAUGGAAAAUGUAUGUGAUAAUCUCGUAAUCACCUAGUACACCUGAAUAUGUAUAUUGUAUGCUGGAUUCUAGCCAAGAAAAUUUAGUUUUGUUGCAGGAGAAUUUUAUUUGGAACUGAUAGCUAUUGGAAGAAAACUCUAACUUUCAGCCACGAGAUAAAUACUGAUCGUGCAGCUUGCCAUCCGAAGAAAAAUGGAAACUACAGCUAGGAAUGCAUGAAUUAUGUCCACUUUAAGUAAUAAAAGAAGGAUGAAACAGAUAGCUAGAAACGUAGGAAACAUACUCACCUUGAGUAAUAAAACAGGUUACCCGUAGGAACUUGUAGGAAUUGGAAAUUUUGCAUGGAAGAAAUCUGAUGCAGGCUGCAUAAGUUUAGCAGUCUUGCGCAGACUUGAGAUUUCAUUCAGUUUUCCUCUGAAUUAUGGGCAUGAACUGCCCUGUUUAGCUUUGGAUAACCUACAGUAAAUUAAGUAUCCUCUGCAUGAGUGAUUGAGACCAGAAACUAAGGAAGUAAAGGCGAGAAAAUGUCAAAGGAUAAGCUACUGUUUUGCUGGAAAAUUUAGUGACUGCAACCGAAAGAGAGAAGAAAGAAACUUUGGUGAUCCUCUAUAAACUUUAACUCCUAAACCUGUGUAAUAAGUGUAACAUGUUAUACGGACUUUAAACCUCAACUAAAUACUAAAGUAGAAAUGAGUGCAGGUUGGUUGGCCGAGGGAGUAAAGCAGAAUGUGCUUCUGUCCGGCCAUUUUUGACCCUGAAAAUGUGAGAACUGGAUGUCGAUGUCUUCAUAGGAAAUGUAGGUCUAUGUCUUAACUUCGAAACACUAUAAAAUUUACCUCAAUCCGAUAAGUGUAGCUCUAGUUAUGAUCAAAACACCAGAGGUUGGCAAAGCUGCCUUUCUCGUUGCCUUUCUUUUGCUCCCGAAUGUAUUUUGCUUUGAUGCUGGCCUUGAGGAAACCAAUUUUUGAACAGCAAUCCUUCUAAUUUCCAACUUUGUAAGCUUUCAUAAAUGAUAGCUAUAGUUGCUCUGAGAUUUAAUGACUAUAUAUAGUUUCACGAGUAGAGUUAAGCUAAAGCAAAUGAGAGGAAAACUCAUGAUAGUUAUAUACCUAAAUUGGCUUCUAAUCAUUUAAUAUUAUCUUCACAAAUAUUUUAAAGACUAUAAAAUUUGAGGGAUUGGUGUAGUGGAAUAAAAUUUAAUUUACGAAUAACCUAGAGUUUAAUUAAUUUAAAAGGGAACAAAUGGAGCGUCUAUAAGCUAUAAUUAAUGAAUAUUGAAUUGAGAAAGAUAUAUUCCUGAUUUAAAUAUUAUACAAGGAUACAAACUUGGGAAAAAUGUAUAAAUCUUAGUUUAAAAUAAUAAAGUUAAUAAAUCUUGAAAUAAAAUGUAAAAUAAAUAUUAAAUACUAUAUUUUGUAUUUUAAAGUCAAACUUGACUUUAAUCGACCAAAUAAUAGGAUAAAAAAUAAUAAGUGAACAUCUUCAAAUUAUAUAUUUACUUUGGAAUUAUGAACUUGUCUCAGGAAAUAGCUGUAAACCAGGAAACGAACCCCAGGCUCGAGAAUAAUUUAUUUGGGUAUUUGGUGAGUGUUUUCCGAAUUUAUGUGUUUAACUGUUUAUGUGUAUCUAAGUAAAAUUAUGUAACAAAUGUGCUUAUCAUGAAUUAUUACUAAAUGAUUCCUUGUGAAGUGUAUCUCAAUUGUCCCUGGCCUUCUAAGUCGAGGGCGUACUUUAUCGCACUUAGCUUAGUUGAGUUUGAAGGUCAAUAAUUGACUGAAUGUUUCUGUAAGUGUGCAUGAAUGUAAAUCAUAUGUGUGCCUCGCCGCAUCGGCUGAACUGGGCCCCAAAACCCUCUGUUUAACGGACUAUUAGAGCUAGCAAAGGGCUUGGUCGAGUAGGACAAUAGCUUUGGGUACAUGUUUCGGUAUACUCGAGUAUUACCAUGAGGUUGGGAGAUUAUUGAACUGAUUACUGAAUGUAGGGGAUUGUUUAUUGUUUUGGAGGACAUAAGGAGGUGAAUUGGGGGAAUGUGCAAUGAUAUUGAAAUGAAUGUACAAUGACAGUGAAAUGAGUGUCUUUGGACACUGAAAUGAAUGCUCAAUGACAUUGAAAUGACUCCCAAGAGGAGUACGUAUCCUUUUGAAAGUGAUUGUUCAGUGAAAUGUGCACUACUUGUUUAAUUGUACUGAUUUAAGUGUUUGUUAAAUGUUACUUGCUCGGCAAACCUCACUGAGUUUUAGCUCAGCCCUUUAGUUUUGUUUUCCUUACAGGAGUUGGUGGUUGGGAAACUAAUGAGGGAUCUUAGGGAGUUAACGUGAAGAUUUUUUGUGAUUGUAAAUCCUUUAGUUUCAUAUUAUGGUUGAAACUUUUGUAUUAAACUUGGUAUUGUAAAAGAUUUAAGCAUUUGGUUUUGGUUUAUCAAAAUAUUAUCUCUGAAGUUAAUAUAAGUAAGUGAGCCCUGGCGAGAGCCAGGCAGGCAAUCCGCUAACUUUUAGGAUAUGCCCUAGGAGAAGGUGGGGUCGUCACAUUUUAAUUGUAAAAAUUUCAUGUUUUUAUAGGUUUAAUGAUUCAAUCAUCAAAUGGCAUGAAUUGAGAAGAUAAUUGGAUGAUUGAUAAUGGUUUGAAGUGAUAAAAAGAGAAUAUGAAAUGCAAGAGAUGAAAUGCAAAUAAAGGAAGUUUCAGCUUUGACACCUUAUGGUAUUUCGGCUCUAUCUUGAGCUAUAAGUAUUGGAUUGAGGUGAUUCUUGAAUCAUUUUGAAACUAAGAGAUAAAUCUAUAUUUGGUAUGAAGACAUUGAGGUCCAGUUUGUGAGGACUUGCAAAAUUCUCCAUAUUUUCUCAAAAUUUCCUUUUAUUUUGAAUAAGUCACUUUAUAAUUGCUUUACCACUAAAUUACUCCCUCAAUAGUUGUAAUAAAUUAUAGAAUUGAGAGUUUUACCUUUACUUUUAAAGUUAGGGUAAACUAGGGUUUUUACGUAUUUUGGUAGUGUGAUUAAUUGGUGAGCUGUGUGUGCUAAAUUUGGUGGAUAAGAAUGAGUAUUAGAUAAGAGGAAGUGUGUGAUUAGAAGUGCUAAUAAUAAGUUAGUGAAUCAUAAGUUAAAACACAAGUGCGAGAGAGUUAAGGAAAAUAGGCUUGAACCGACGUGGACCGUUUGUUACCGAUUGAGUACACCACUUGACCAAUAUUUUCUUACCCUAAUCCUCUUGUUUUUAUUUCAGCUAAUUAACCCUAGAUUAAGCCCUAAACCAGCCAAAAAUGUUGACUAAAGAAAAGUGAGAAAAAAAAUAAGAAGGAAUCUUGUUGUGCCAAGUGUUGGCAAUCUAAGGGUGGUUGACCAAGCCAAAUUCUUUCCUUCUUAUCUUCCAUUUUGGCUAAUAUUCCUUCAUUAUUUCUUCUUGUUGGCCGAGAGCAAAGAGAGGAGAAAGAGGGAAGAAAACUUCCAAUUCCAACCUUGAUUUUAGCCUUGUUUGAGUUGAAUCACAAAAAUCAAACCGAUUAAACUUGCAUCUUGGUGCUUAGGAAGCUAGGAGUGGUGAAAUUCUUGGGAGAAAUUGCUUGGUUCCUCACUUUCAAGAAGGUUUUGGAAGGUAUAAGUUCAUCCACUUCUUGUCUCUACCUUAAUCUUGAUAGAUAUGCUAUAGAAGCUUUGAAUUUUGGAAUAUAUUGGAUGAUACUCUAGUUUUGGUGUUGAUUAAUGAAAUUUCAGCUAGGAUUUGGUAAUUUUCAGCCUUGAUUAUGUUGUUUAACUAGCAAAUGUUGGUAUUGAGCUUGGAUAUGGAAUUUGUGAGGUGAUUAGUAGCAUGAUUGUGAUUUUUAGCCUUAAAAGAUGAAAUUUCAGCCUUGGUGAGAAAAUUCCAACUUUGGUAUUGGUUGAUUAUUUGUUAGAAAUGAGUUAUAUUUGGAUAGUUUUUAGCCUAGAUGAAGAGUUAUCUUGAUAUUCUUACUUGUGGUGUUUGAAUUGGGUUGAUUUGAGGAAAAACAUGAAGCCUUAUAUGGCUAGAAAAAUGAGUAAAAACAAAGGAUAUGCUACCCAAAUUUUUCUUCCGUAGGAUAAGCGAGCGAAAUGGGAACUUGAGCCGUGAUUCGUGGUUGAAUUGAACUUGAACUGGUUAGAGUAUUCAAGUUUCCUUUGGUAGAGGUACAUAAGCUAAAUUUUUGCCAAAACUCGUACCCUUUAAAAAGCAAAAGUAGCGACCACUAUAAAUACGUUUUCCUCGUCUUUUAGACCAAGUUGUGAACUUAAAAGUUUUAAUCGCUUCCUUAUCAAAACCAAAAGAGCGAGCAUGAGUUUUCUAGGGUGUGAUAAGUAAAAUGAAUACUACUUAAAUGAGUUUCAUUUACUUGACUUUUUUUAAACGAAACUCCUAUAAUUUGAACUCAAAUUGGUUUUAAACCGUUAAAUGAUAUUUUAUCGCAGAUUUGAACUCUAACCAGGGAGUUGCACCUGAACGUGGUUUUGAAAAGCCAUAAGUCAUUGGUGAGUACUUCCAAGUGCAUGAUUGAACUUGAUACUUGAUUUAAAUGCUUUACCAACGUGAUCGGAUAAUAUUUGAUUGGUUUGGUCGGGUAAGGGUGUACUUUAUCGCACUUACCCUAAUGUCACUUAUUACUGUGCAUUGAUUUCAAUUGACAUGAUAUGUAUGACUUGAGUACUAUCUGGAAUUCCAGAAACCCUGUGGCUAGUUACUCGAGUCGAGUCGAUAAGGGCCUGAUCAAUUAGAUAACAAACCCUAGGUCUCUAGUUCUGUCGAGUGGAGUGUUAUCUCCUCGACUAAUUGGUAUGUUCGAGUAUUACCACCAGUGUUUAUCUUGGAGUUCGGGCCCGAUAGGGGGUUUGAAUGGUGGACGGAGAUUGGAGUUAAGUGGUGUACUACUAAACUGGUUACUCUAUUUGAAAGUUGACGGAGUGUCAACUAUUAUUUGGUAAAGUUAUGGCAGAGCUAGUUGCAAAAACGACGGUAUCCUUUUACUUGGAAAUGUUGAAUAUUGAAUAAUUGGCUAUACAAAGGGUUAUUGCUUAUUUUCUUGACUUCUUAUGCUCGCUACUUUGAUAUCCGCAUUUUUAAAUAGUGGUCAACAUGCUACUUGGGUUUGCAUAAUGUUUUGGAACCUCAUUGAGUUUUAACUCACUCUAUUAGUUUUGUUUUCCUUACAGGGGGUACAAGAGAGGGCGUGAGGCUGGUACAAGCUAGCUUUGUCUAGUUUUUGAAUUUUUGUGAUUGUACUCGCGCUAGUGCUCUAUUAGGGUUGAAUGUAUCCGGAAUUUUAACUAUUUUGAGAUAUUUGGGAUUGUAUGAGCCUUGGAACUUAACUUAAG
rnacentral:lncRNA from 1 species